GAUGAACGCUGGCGGCGUGCCUAAUACAUGCAAGUCGAGCGAACAGACGAGGAGCUUGCUCCUCUGACGUUAGCGGCGGAAGGGUGAGUAACACGUGGAUAACCUACCUAUAAGACUGGGAUAACUUCGGGAAACCGGAGCUAAUACCGGAUAAUAUAUUGAACCGCAUGGUUCAAUAGUGAAAGACGGUUUUGCUGUCACUUAUAGAUGGAUCCGCGCCGCAUUAGCUAGUUGGUAAGGUAACGGCUUACCAAGGCAACGAUGCGUAGCCGACCUGAGAGGGUGAUCGGCCACACUGGAACUGAGACACGGUCCAGACUCCUACGGGAUGCAGCAGUAGGGAAUCUUCCGCAAUGGGCGAAAGCCUGACGGAGCAACGCCGCGUGAGUGAUGAAGGUCUUCGGAUCGUAAAACUCUGUUAUUAGGGAAGAACAAAUGUGUAAGUAACUAUGCACGUCUUGACGGUACCUAAUCAGAAAGCCACGGCUAACUACGUG
rnacentral:rRNA from 1 species